rnacentral:rRNA from 1 species
UGGAUCCAGACUUUGAUCCUGGCUCAGGAUGAACGCUAGCUACAGGCUUAACACAUGCAAGUCGAGGGGAAACGACAUCGAAAGCUUGCUUUUGAUGGGCGUCGACCGGCGCACGGGUGAGUAACGCGUAUCCAACCUGCCCACCACUUGGGGAUAACCUUGCGAAAGUAAGACUAAUACCCAAUGAUAUCUCUAGAAGACAUCUGAGAGAGAUUAAAGAUUUAUCGGUGAUGGAUGGGGAUGCGUCUGAUUAGCUUGUUGGCGGGGUAACGGCCCACCAAGGCAACGAUCAGUAGGGGUUCUGAGAGGAAGGUCCCCCACAUUGGAACUGAGACACGGUCCAAACUCCUACGGGAGGCAGCAGUGAGGAAUAUUGGUCAAUGGACGAGAGUCUGAACCAGCCAAGUAGCGUGCAGGAAGACGGCCCUAUGGGUUGUAAACUGCUUUUAUAAGGGAAUAAAGUGAGAGUCGUGACUCUUUUUGCAUGUACCUUAUGAAUAAGGACCGGCUAAUUCCGUGCCAGCAGCCGCGGUAAUACGGAAGGUCCGGGCGUUAUCCGGAUUUAUUGGGUUUAAAGGGAGCGUAGGCCGGAGAUUAAGCGUGUUGUGAAAUGUAGACGCUCAACGUCUGCACUGCAGCGCGAACUGGUUUCCUUGAGUACGCACAAAGUGGGCGGAAUUCGUGGUGUAGCGGUGAAAUGCUUAGAUAUCACGAAGAACUCCGAUUGCGAAGGCAGCUCACUGGAGCGCAACUGACGCUGAAGCUCGAAAGUGCGGGUAUCGAACAGGAUUAGAUACCCUGGUAGUCCGCACGGUAAACGAUGGAUGCCCGCUGUUGGUCUGAAUAGGUCAGCGGCCAAGCGAAAGCAUUAAGCAUCCCACCUGGGGAGUACGCCGGCAACGGUGCAACUCAAAUGAAUUGACGGAA